rnacentral:rRNA from 7 species
UACUUAGUGGCAGACGGGUGAGUAACAUGUGGGUAUCUACCCUUUGGCCUGGAAUAACACGAGGAAACUUGUGCUAAUACCGGAUAAGUCUUUACGGAGAAAGCUUUAUGCACCAUUGGAUGAGCCCGCACUUGAUUAGUUUGUUGGUAGGGUAAUGGCCUACCAAGACUAUGAUCAAUAGCUGAUUUGAGAGGAUGAUCAGCCACAUUGGGACUGAGACACGGCCCAAACUCCUACGGGAGGCAGCAGUGGGGAAUCUUGCACAAUGGAGGAAACUCUGAUGCAGCGAUGCCGCGUGAGUGAAGAAGGCCUUUGGGUUGUAAAGCUCUUUCGUCGGGGAAGAAAAUGACUGUACCCGAAUAAGAAGGUCCGGCUAACUUCGUGCCAGCAGCCGCGGUAAUACGAAGGGACCUAGCGUAGUUCGGAAUUACUGGGCUUAAAGAGUUCGUAGGUGGUUGAAAAAGUUGGUGGUGAAAUCCCAGAGCUUAACUCUGGAACUGCCAUCAAAACUUUUCAGCUAGAGUAUGAUAGAGGAAAGCAGAAUUUCUAGUGUAGAGGUGAAAUUCGUAGAUAUUAGAAAGAAUACCAAUUGCGAAGGCAGCUUUCUGGAUCAUUACUGACACUGAGGAACGAAAGCAUGGGUAGCGAAGAGGAUUAGAUACCCUCGUAGUCCAUGCCGUAAACGAUGUGUGUUAGACG